AUGCCAAGUGCUUCUUCCCUGACCGCCCCGUCUGAUCUACGAACAGGUAAACGAAGACCCCGCUUUGGGACACCCCUGCCCUCCACGAGCCCAGCUCCUCGGGGCCGGAUUAAUGGCCUGUCCUGGCUUGUUGUCAUUUUGCAGCGUGCACUCAUCGAGACACCAGGAGACCCCUGGACGGCGUCAGUGCGAAUUUCUCAGGAAGACCCCCUUCCAACACUGCCCACGGGCCUCGGAAUGAUGUGUCCCCCCCGGCCCCGUGCGGGCUGUGAUCGGUCCCCACCCGGCUCAGCGCUGGCCCGGAAGAGCUCCGCAGCUGGCUCAGCCCCCGGUCCCCAGGGGCACUUCCUCGGCAGGAGAGGCUCAUCUCAGGACAGCCCCCCCGACCCCCGGUGCCCGACUGCCGGUGACGCUCCGCUCACCAGUACUGGCUUUAUGCCGGGCGGCAGGCGCUGGCAGGGAACAGGCUCGCAGGCCUCCCAGAGCGCGAGGGCAGGUGCUACCCGCCCGAGGAGCAGCUGUUUGUCAUUAGCACCGAGCGGGGCUGCUGGCCGCCCACCUGCACAGCCGGAUACGUCUGUGGCCCAGCGACCAUGCUGCGACGCCAGGUGCCGGCCACUGGCCGGGGCGUGGACCUCUCAGAGGGUCUCAGGGAUCAAGGCCCGGCCCACACUCCCCGGAAGGCAGGGCAGCCGCGGCCGUGGGCUCCCGGGCCCCUUGUCUCGUAACCCUGCCUUCCUGCCUCUACAUCUGCCCUUGCUCGGGUCCCAGCCUCCUCGGAGGGCCUGACCUCCCUCUCCAGAGCCAGCAAGAAGGAAACACGGGGUUUGGAGCAUCUGGUCUCAGGACACAGUAACCCAUUUCACUGGCUUGGGCCUAAGAGGGAGGCCCGGGCACCCCAGGACAUUAUCAUCUCUCUUUCAGUUCGUCUGUCAUCCACACUCUGAGAGCAGGCUGGGCGGCUCCAGGAGAAGGGGUUCCUGGUCGCCCAGUGCUUCUAGGACCUGUCCCGGGACGGAAACCUACUGUUAUCCCCAGUCCGGGAAAGAUGACGCUGGUCCUGGGCAGGCUCCUGGAGCUGGGGGUGGGCGCAGCCUGUCCCACACCCCCACGUGGACCAAGGGUUGGGAAGGGCUGCUUCCCCAGGGUAGCGCUGGCUGUCACCAUCGGGAGGGGAACGGAUGCCCUCCUCCACCGCCUGGGCCCCUGCCCUGAGCCGCGCUCCUGAAGACGACAACCUCCCGCGGGUGUCCGUGCUCCCCUGCGAAGAUCGAGCCCCCGGCUGUUCCCCUCACGAGGCUCUUGUGAAGAACACAAACGCACAUAUUUGCAGGGCGCGAACGGAGCAGGGAGAUCCCGGUAAACAAUGACAGGAAUGACAGGAGUCCCCGCUGUAUCUGCAGUGAUCUUGAAACGUAACAUUGUGUUAAUUUGGCAAAGAUGGCUGACACCUGGUAGACAGAAAAGCCGCCUCCGUUAUGUGCGGAGACUGGGAGGGCAGAGGGGCCAAGUCACCAGCCUCCCUUCUCCCGAAGUCGAAGAAGAAACAGAGGUUCAGAGAAGACCUGAGCGCUGGGUCUCGGGAGGCCCCCUGCUCCUCCUCCGGCCCGUGUGCCCCAGGAGCGCUCUGUUUGCUGCGUGCCUGUGCCAUGUCAGCUGCCACGAUAAGAGGUUUGCAGAACGUGCUUCCGUCAGCCCCAUCCAGUAGAGAGAACGUCAGCCCACUCUAUGGGUGGGGAAACUGAGGGCCGUACUUUGUGUGUUUCCCAUCUCUAUAGGAUGCCUUCUU
rnacentral:lncRNA from 1 species